GGGUGUAAUCUUCUAUUUACGAUUGUUCCGAUGAAAUUUGAACCGACCCCAGUAGAGCUGUGAAUAGCCGCCGCCUCUUUUUCCCCCUCACAUAAAACUUUUAGCCAUACUUUUUUCCCCCUAGACGAGUCUAGAGUAAAUAGGUAUUCGGCGUGACAGUUCAUGACACGCUGUUCUGUGUGUGUGUGUGUAUGUGUGGAUAUGUGUGGUGGGGGGAUGUGUAAGUACGUGUGUAUAAUCCUGUCCUGUUUGGAACAUCCUCCGCCUAGUCCCCACCCCCCUAACAUAACAGCAUGUACCUGCAGAGUGUACAUAAGAGCCACGCUGCUUGUACCCGGGCCCCUGAACAGAGCCGUGAGACGAGCCCCGCAAAAGAAGAUCAUGAUGAUAUCAUGUUGCCUCGAAAGUCGCAGCUUAAUUAUUACCGACACUAUUUGAACAAGCCAUUUCAUUUUGAGCAGAAGUAGAAGGGAAGACAGCAGAAGAAGCAAAGUUUCAUAAAUAAAUACUACACGCAGCUAUGUAGCUUUUAUAGACAUGCCCAGGUCAAAAGAUUGAUGGACAUACACACUUUAAAAAGUUUUUUACUUGUCUGUGAUUACACAAUUUUAGACAAUCAAGCCUUUUAGUGUUAAGCUAUCUAGCAUUCAAGUAGGUGGACAUUGUACAUUUCGUAUUUCCUAUUAGAAAUUUCACAUUUUAAAAAAUACAUAUUUUGGGCUAGUAAAAGCUCAAUAUCAGUUGAAAGUAUAAGCUAAUCAGUUGAAAGUAUAAGCUAAGAUAUCAGUUGGAAGUAUAAGCUAAGAUAUCAGUUGAAAGUAUAAGCUAAGAUAUCAGUUGGAAUUACAGACUAAGACUAGGAUUUCUAGUAGGCAUAUUUAAGCUAAAAUAACGUCAUAAAAAGUUGUUUUCAUUAUUUAAAUCAUGGCUACGUCAUUCUUACUUUAAAUGUGUGCCUAAAAACUAUUGACGUUGAUAUGGUCACAAAGAACUUUUACGGAAUACUAAAAAGUCCUGACUUCUAGUCUGAAGAUUCAAAAGGAGUGAAAACGUACUUAGCUGGUCUGUAGGGCUGCAUGUUGGCUAUAGAAGAAUCCAUUUCUUUUUAUUGAUCAUUUAAUAAAAGAAUUAAAAUGAAUACUUGCUUAGCCCCCGUCCCGACACCAAUAUUUCCUACUUACACCGAAGUAUAUGUAGAACCCAGUUUGUGGAUACCUGAUAAAUUGUUACGUACUUAGUUGAAUAAAUGUGGGAACAGUUGGGGGCGGGGGGACUCCAAAACUUCUUCCAUAGGGGUGAAGCAGAGAUGAGAUGGCCCUGUUGGUUUUAGGGCUAGUGCCCGAUGGGCUGGCCCUGAAUGGGCCGAUGGAGGAUGACUGUGCCUAAUGUUUCAGUGAACCACCGUGUAGAAAUGUUUCAGUGAACCACCGUGUAGAAAUGUUUCAGUGAACCACCGUGUAGAAAUGUUUCAGUGAACCACCGUGUAGAAAUGUUUCAGUGAACCACCGUGUAGAAAUGUUUCAGUGAACCACCGUGUAGAAAUGUUUCGUACUUCCACGCACGUAUUCAGUUUUCGAUGCGUUAUAAAAACAUAUUGUAAGAACAGACACAUCAUAUACUGCGCAAUUUGUCGGGCGCAUAGUAAGGUAACACCAGGGCCGAUUUUUCACACGCUGUUUAUUGGAACUCCCACUGUAUAAAAAUAAGCAGUCACGACAAUGCUUUUACAAAGUUGUCAUAGUAUUGAUACUUUAAAGGAAAUAUUACAUGUAUAGGUGUAUAUACUACAUAGCUGGUCAAAAAUAGAGGAACUAUAUUAACACACAAAAAAAGAGUUUUGCAAAAUUCCAUUGUGAGUUAGUACUACUGAGAUUGUGUGUGAGUGAGUAAUGAGUCUCUAAUUUCGACACUGAUCUUCUGCUUUGACUUCUCCCUGGAGGCCCUAGAUAUUUAUCGUUUCAGUUGGUUUUUUUUAUUUCACUUGUUCAUUUCGUUGGGCCACCAUUGUUCAUUUUUCCCCCCACUAGGCCCGUGUGGCAAACUCUUCAUGAUAGAGCCCCGGGAGACAUAAUCCAAAGGGCGCCGGGAUUGAUACGAAUCUAGAUCACACAUUUUUAUACAGCCACAUCUUGAGUGUUUUGUUGUUGUUGGUGUUAUAAUUGUAAGAGUUUUGUCGUCUUCUGAUUUAUGAAAGUAUAGAAAUAUUGUCAAAAAGAGUUUAAAAAGAAAGACAAUAGUGAAAACUUUAAGGGAUGUCACUAUAAAGCAAACCCAUGUUAUUGUUUUUUAUAAAUAAUAAUUAAUUAAUUAAUUAAUUAAUCGAUAGGGCCACACAAUAUAGGAAUAUCGGGAUACACAGCUUCAGAAAUAUUAAAAACAAAGUUAAUUCUGAACAUUUGCAUAGUGCCAGGUCGUAUGGUAUGCGCUUAGGACAGUCGUGGCAAUGACCCCGCGUCCAAACUAGGACCGAUUCCAUUCUCUGCUGACCUCUUGUACCUAAGUAUGGAGAUAUUGUACCUAAAUAUGGAGAUAUUGUACCUAGAUAUGGAGAUAUUGUACCUAGAUAUGGAGAUAUUGUAUCUAGAUAUGGAGAUAUUGUAUCUAGAUAUGGAGAUAUUGUACCUAGAUAUGGAGAUAUUGUACCUAGAUAUGGAGAUAUUGUAUCUAGAUAUGGAGAUAUUGUACCUAAAUAUGGAGAUAUUGUAUCUAGAUAUGGAGAUAUUGUACCUAGAUAUGGAGAUAUUGUAUCUAGAUAUGGAGAUAUUGUAUCUAGAUAUGGAGAUAUUGUACCUAGAUAUGGAGAUAUUGUACCUAGAUAUGUAGAUAUUGUAUCUAGAUAUGGAGAUAUUGUACCUAGAUAUGGAGAUAUUGUAUCUAAGAAUGGAAAUAUUGUACCUAAGUAUGGAGAUAAUGUACCUAAGUAUGGAGAUAAUGUACCUAAGUAUGAAGAUAGAUCAGUUCAAGAAGCUUUCACCAAAGAGACAAGCAAAACAAAAAGGUGCAGACAUCAUUUGCUCACUGUACAAAAAGGUGCAGACAUCAUUUGCUCACUGUACAAAAAGGUGCAGACAUCAUUUGCUCACUUUACACAAUGAAUAAACUGACGUACUGUCUAACAUAUUUUGAAAAUAGGUGUUACGAAAUGUUUUCCCAUGAUGCUUGUCUCUUCUAAAAAUAGAUCGAAAUUGGGUCACGGGGCAUGCGCGCGCUCUUAGUUUUGUUCAAUAUUUCUAAGAAAAAACAAUAAAACCUUCAUCUUAUGUGAAGGGGACUGUCACCAGGAGGUACAGAACCAUCUCGAACAAAUACAACACGGAUAGACGGGGGGGGGGAGGGUAAGGUAACGGAGAGGGAGAAAGUUUUAAGUUGUCAGGAGUGGAGGAAAGCAGUGAUACGUGACAGACUUAAGUUGUCUCACAUUCAGACAUCGUUGAGAUGGUGAAACCAUGGACACCGACAUUUCAAGGAUAGUUCAGGUCCCAGACCCGUCCAGAUGGUCCACUCUGGAGCCACCUCCUAGAAGCGACCAUUUUAAAACGUUUUUUUUAUCUCAACAACGCAUGUUAUGGGUUAAUGUUAGCUUUGAUGACAUCUCUAAACAAAGCAACAACAAAAAAGUAUUUAUUAUAAUAUAGAGUAGAGAAUGGGUUAACCGUUAACAAAAGGUGGUCUACUAAAGUCUUGAAGUUGUGUUUGAAUACGAAUUUUGAAGAAUUAAACAUAGACUAAAAUAAUGUGUGUUCGUUUGUUUGAUAAGCCCUAAGAGAGUUCCCACAUCUCAAUAUUGAUAUAUUUACAUUGUCUGACGCUACCUUCUAAUUCUGUAAUUACAUAUAAUUAAUUACGAUAUCGCCAAAGCCAGUUUCGGUUUUAUUUAUAUUAGGACUACAUGUAUUAUGAUGUAAUUACCAGAAGUAAACUAGUCAUAAUAU
rnacentral:sRNA from 1 species